rnacentral:rRNA from 1 species
GAUGAACGCUAGCGGCAGGCCUAAUACAUGCAAGUCGAACGGUGUCUUCGGACAUAGUGGCGCACGGGUGCGUAACACGUAUGCAACCUACCUUACAUUGGGGGAUAGCCUUUCGAAAGGGAGAUUAAUACCGCAUAAGACAGUAGUCUGGCAUCAGACAGCUGUUAAAGAUUUAUCGAUGUAAGCUGGGCAUGCGUCCAAUUAGUUAGUUGGCGAGGUAACGGCUCACCAAGACUAUGAUUGGUAGGGGAACUGAGAGGUCAAUCCCCCACACUGGCACUGAGAUACGGGCCAGACUCCUACGGGAGGCAGCAGUAGGGAAUAUUGGGCAAUGGACGCAAGACUGACCCAGCCAUGCCGCGUGCAGGAAGAAGGCGUUAUGCGUUGUAAACUGCUUUUAUACAGGAAGAAACGACUCUUGCGAGAGGCAUUGACGGUACUGUAUGAAUAAGCACCGGCUAACUCCGUGCCAGCCGCCGCCGUAACAC